GGGUCAGUGGCCGAGUGGUCAAUGGCAGCAGACUGUAAAUCUGUCGGCGGACGCCUACGGUGGUUCAAAUCCAUCCUGGCCCACCU
rnacentral:tRNA from 1 species